AAAAAAUGCCGGAGUUGCCGAGUUUGGAGAGUAGGUGGACUGAUAUAAAUCAUGUGAGAUAGUGAGUCCGAAGGCUCACUCUACGAUCCACCAUGAACACUCAGAUGUUAGAUCGAGAAAGAAGUAGAAGUGUGAGUUUUACUAUGUAGAAGUGAGAGUUCUACUACAUGAAGAGUGUUCUGAACUGCCGAGAGAAAGGAGAGCAUCAUGCCAUCUGGAUGUCCAUCAUGGGAAGACUCUAAGUACAAUAGAG
rnacentral:lncRNA from 1 species